rnacentral:tmRNA from 2 species
GGGGGCGACAGGCUUCGACGUGGUCGAUUCGUGCGAAAGGUUGCAGGUCGAGGUUGCCGGAGGCCUCGUUAAACCCCGGCAAAAAUCAAUACAUGCGAACGAAGAAAAUCACUCGUUCGCCCUCGCCGCUUAGUCUCUGACUAAGCCUUAGAGGGUGCCGCUCCUCCUGUGCUCGCGGGGAGGAAUCCGGCCUAAGAAGCGGGCUUACCCGGACGACUUGCCUCGUUCGGCCCGGGGACAUUCAAGGGGCUUGGUCUUUCGGUAGUGCCCGUCGACGCGGACGCCGGAAGACGAGAUCAAAGCGUCGACUAAACCUGUAGAUGCCCUCGCAUUGCGUCCGCGGAUCCGAGUUCGAAUCUCGGCGCCUCCAUCC